GGCGGCGUAGCUCAGCUGGCUAGAGCGUUCGGUUCAUACCCGAAAGGUCGGGGGUUCGAUCCCCUCCGCCGCUACCA
rnacentral:tRNA from 6 species